GUGUUAGCUUCGGCAGCACAUAUACUAAAAUUAGAAUAGCAUAAAGAAGAUUAGCAUGGACCCGGUACAAAGAUGACAUGAAAAUUAAUGAAGAUUUCCAUAUUUUU
ensembl:snRNA U6 U6 spliceosomal RNA